CGCAGACCGCCGGACGACUCCAAGGCCGGAUCUCCGUGCAGCCGUGCAGGGCAUCACCCACAAGAAGAAGAUCAAGCUCCGGCGAGUACCUCUUUCCAUCUCCUGUCGCUGCCUCUACCAUAUCUAUCUAAAGGAACAAAUUUGAGCGCAUCUUCUGUUGACAGUGACUUUAGUUUGCUAUUGGUGCUCCAGUAAGAAAAAUAGAUGUAUUUUGUUGAUGGUGGCUUCACAAUCUGGCACAUGACUCAUGAAAAGCUUUGUUUGACAAACUAUUGUGAAGGAACAAGUAUACUGUCUUUUACUACUUCAGUUUGCUUGACAAACUAUUGUGAUGAUGGAUAAAGUGUGAUGUGAUGAUGGAUAAACCAAUUUACUAUGCUUCAGUUUACUUUGUUUGAUUUUUCCUGAUUUUUUGAAGUAUUAUUUAUAGCAUCACAUAGCUAUGGAUGAACCAUUUUCUGAUGAUGGAUAAAGUUCUCAUCCAAUAUAGUAGUAUAGAGUUGCUGCUGGCUAUGUUUUGGGACUAAAACAGCUUUGGACUAAAUCCUUGGUUGCCAAAGGGUGGCAGGAAAUUAUAUCCUAGUGGGGAAAAUCCUCCAUGGAAAUCGAGGUGCCAUUUAAAUCUCAUUGGUGGAUUUUUUUUCCAUGGGUUUUUUCCCUAUUGCUGCCAAACCAGUCCUCAUAGAAAUUUUUCUCAUAUGGAACGAAAAUAGCCAACCAUUAAUUGUAGUAGACUCGGACCAUCAUUGACAAUAAUACAUAUUUUGUAUUUCAAAGAUACUUGUCCACUUUUGACAUUCUGAAAGGAACCUCCUAAAUUUAUAUCGAAAUUACCAAAUCUGCCAUUUUGAAAAUACCCUAAAGUGAACCCCCUAAAUCUUCCAUCUAAAUUACUCACCUAUAUCAUUGUGAAAGAUGAUUUGAACUAUUCGCUAAAUUUUCAUCUAAGUUGCCCCAAUUUUAAUGUUAUUAAAAUAACCAAAAGUAAGCUAAUAAUUCUACAUCUCAAUAUAUAUCCCAAAGUCCUCCUACAUAUGCUUCUAGGUUACCCACUUCUACAUUGUUGAUAUAGAACUAACUCAAGGUAAACAUGCAUGAUACAUACGACCAUUGCAUCAUGCGGACCACAUCAUAUCAAUUUCCAUGUCAAACACAGCUCAAACUAAGGUACGGAGGUGCUACGCAAAGGGGAAAGCACGUAUGGGGAUGGAAAAGCAUAUAGAAUAGAUGGUACAAGUCCAGAAUUGAAUAAAGAUAAAAGUAUCUAUGAAUAUUUCGUCAUAAUAUGAACGAUAGAGAGCAGAGAUACGCUAUUCUGAAUAGCACUAGGAACAAAUUUUAUCCACAAACUUCUAACAAUUAUGUCCUUUUAAAAUUAUUAGCCCGUGUAGAAGCAACACAUUGCUUGAUGGGCUAGUUAUGAUAAUCACCCACUCAACCAAAAGCUGAAGGUAUCACACUGAAGCGAUCAGAUUGCCUCAGUCAACACUGUCAAUUCAAGUCCAGUUCAAUUGGUUCACCAUUAAGCACUACUAUACUCAACAAUGACAUGUAGUUUAGGCAUGAACCAAUGGCACCCAAUACUCCAAUAUGCCUACAAGCACCUCAAAACUUAAAAGGUUCUACAAGCUAAUUCACAUAUUUACAGGAGAUAUAAAAGUUAAAUCUUCAGAAGAAAUUUCGAGCAGCAAGCAUCCACAAGCCCUAACUUACAUCUGAUAACAUCAAAUUAACACCACAUUUCAAGUAACAGGCAGCUGUACUACUUUUGUUUCUUAAACAAUAAAUGUGAAAAGUGACCACUUCACAAGUAUAGAUUUGUGAAGAAGCUAAACAUUAAAAUUAAUGGCCAACUACUGUAUGUUGCUUAUGAUGGGUACAGUACAAACAUUACCUGACUGUAGAAUUUCUCAGGAUUUCCCUCACGGAGAUUAUGAAUGUCAAGGGCAACUUUUGCAUCACAACCGAUACCUGUCACCAUAGUAAGCUAAGGUUAUUCGACAAGGAGCGCCGAUAAACGAAGUUUCUGUGUACCUACCGAGAUAGUUGUUCAUGUACUUUACUAGAAGCACAUUCUUUGAUUUCUUAUCUUCUACUGUCACCUUCCAUCUAUCAAGGAUAGUGACUGCUGCAUGCUCUAUGUCAUGUAAAAUUGUGCAAAGGCCACCUUGCUUCUCAACAGCACCUAGGCCACCUCCCCAUGAUAAAACUCUCGAAAGAUCAUUGCCAGUGCCAGCUGGAAGAAUUGCAAUGGGUGGAGGUGAUUCAUAAUUUUGCUUAUCUAUCGCGUCAAGAACCCAACCAACAGUACCAUCACCACCACACACAAGUAUUCUGAAAUGUGGUACCUUUCUGAACAAAAAUAAUCCUGUUUCUGGCCCUUGUGAAGAACUUAAUUCAAAAACCU
rnacentral:lncRNA from 1 species